AUUGAACGCUGGCGGAAUGCUUUACACAUGCAAGUCGAACGGCAGCACGGGGGCAACCCUGGUGGCGAGUGGCGAACGGGUGAGUAAUACAUCGGAACGUGCCCAGUCGUGGGGGAUAACGUAGCGAAAGCUACGCUAAUACCGCAUACGAACUGAGGUUGAAAGGCGGGGGAUCGCAAGACCUCGCGCGAUUGGAGCGGCCGAUGGCAGAUUAGGUAGUUGGUGGGGUAAAGGCNCACCAAGCCGACGAUCUGUAGCUGGUCUGAGAGGACGACCAGCCACACUGGGACUGAGACACGGCCCAGACUCCUACGGGAGGCAGCAGUGGGGAAUUUUGGACAAUGGGCGCAAGCCUGAUCCAGCCAUUCCGCGUGCAGGAUGAAGGCCCUCGGGUUAGUAAACUGUCUUUUGUACGGAAACGAAAGGCGCCGGUUAAUACCUGGCGCUGAUGACGGUACCGUAAGAAUAAG
rnacentral:rRNA from 1 species